ensembl:snRNA U6 U6 spliceosomal RNA
GUGCUCUCUUUGGCAGCACAUAUACUGAAAUUGAAAUGACACAGAGGAGAUUAGCAUGGCCCGUGUGCAAGGAUGACAUGCAAAUUUGUGAAGCCUUCCAUAUAAUA